rnacentral:tRNA from 1 species
UAUUUAUUAGUUUAUAAAAAAACAUUAUAUUUUCAAUAUAAAAAUAUUUAAAAUUAAAAUUAUAAAUAA